rnacentral:rRNA from 1 species
ACGCUGGCGGCGUGCUUAACACAUGCAAGUCGAACGAGGUCCAUGAAGUAGCAAUACUUCGGAAGACCUAGUGGCGAACGGGUGCGUAACACGUGAGGAACUUUGUCCCGGUCUCUGGGAUAACAGUUGGAAACGACUGCUAAUACCGGAUGACGUCGGAGCAUCGCAUGGUGCGCUGACGAAAGGGUUACUGGAUCGGGAGAGCCUCGCGGCCUAUCAGCUUGUUGGUGGGGUAACGGCCUACCAAGGCAUCGACGGGUAGCUGGUCUGAGAGGAUGAUCAGCCACACUGGGACUGAGACACGGCCCAGACUCCUACGGGAGGCAGCAGUGGGGAAUCUUGCGCAAUGGGCGAAAGCCUGACGCAGCAACGCCGCGUGCGGGAAGAAGGCUCUCGGGUUGUAAACCGCUUUCAGCAGGAACGAAAAUGACGGUACUUGCAGAAGAAGGUGCGGCCAACUACGUG